GAAAUUCCAGAGGAUGACCUAGUCAUUUCUUCUGUAGUUUUUGUGCAUGCAUCUCAUUCUGCUUUCUGCUGUUGUAUUAUCAUACGGCAUCUUUGCAGGAAGUAAUGGAAGAUCCACAGAUUGCAGCUGAUGGUUUUACGUAUGAGCAUAGAGCAAUAAAGUUAUGGCUCACCAGACAUAGUAUAUCACCAGUUACAAAACAGAUACUGCAGCACAAGAUGGUCACACCAAACCGCACAUUGCGACUAGCUAUACAUGAGUGGCGAUCACAAGCAAUGUCGUUCAGACCCAGAUCUUGAAAUUGGGUCGCAAAGUGCAUGAUAUCAAGCCAAAAGGAGAAUUGGAAAAACAAAAAAAGAUUAUUAAUAGGUAUCUCUUAUUCACAAGUGGCUUUAGAACAAAGUCAAGUGUGUUAUGUGCAUAUACAUCAUUCUAGUGUACAUUAGCAACUGUAGUCUUUUUAAGUAUUGUAUAGCUCCUUAUGGUAGGGAAAUCCUAUAGAAAAUGUAACAUAAUUCUGUGAAUGAGAUGAUAUUUUCUGAUUGUUUUUCUUCCAGUAGAAGAGUCUGAACUAUAUCCUUGCUUUCAACAAGGAGUAGCUGAAAGUUGUAUGUAGCUAAACUGGUUUUUCUCAACAUACUGUAUUGCUCAUUUGGAAGCAAGGAAAAAAAUUAGUCUUGGGGACAUAUUGGUAAUUUGACAUUGCCAUACUAGUUGAUCUUGAAGCACUAGAUUGUUGAAGAAAGUGAAUAUGAUGAGUUUAAGGAGGUUAUUACAAUGCAGAGUAGAAUGACAAACUUCAAGACUUGAUGUAAAUUAGAGUUGCAGAUCCUCAACUCACAAUUUCUAUGAUUAGGACUAGUAGUUUCAGAAGUAUUAAAUAAAAGUAAUGUACAUAAAGUACUUGUGGGUUGAGAUUGGCCUUUGGUAGGUGUCUACGUUCUUGAAGUACAUCCAGCGUAUCAUGAGAAGUUGUAUUGCAUUAACGUAUGAUAUUUUCCGUAAGUCAUAUUGGAUAACCACCCAUCUAUUCUUUGAAACUUCAUCCUGAUCUUAGUGCUCUCGAACUAAUUAACUAAUGUUUAGUAUUUCGGCAAAAUCACUUGUCAAUUAAUUGUUUGUUUGCUUAAGCUAUUGUUCUAGUUAGUUGUCUGUUAAGUCGAUGAAAUCUAAUAGUUCUACAUCUGUUUUUCAGUUUUGUUUGUGGUUCAAAUACAAUUCUCUAUUUGGUGAUUUGUUCAAAAUCAGUAGGGGAUGUUAUUGAUAGCGGUAAAGUGGAAGAGUAGGAAGUAGAAUGAUGAAAUUAGGGUACACAUGAUUUUACUUUCACUGUUUGAAGCAUGCUAAUAGUACAAUUACUUUCUUAGCGUCUAAACUUGGUGAAAAUGGAAUGUGCUUCCUCCUAUUUGGGGUCCUUUGGUCGGUCUUUUUAGACAAAUUUUUGGUAAACAAAUAUCAAUCCUUUUGGACAAAUUUUUAGUGAACAAAAAUUGUCCGGCAAGUACUUUUCACUUCCUACUUAAGAGUUGCUCUUUCCUUACUUCAUACACACACUCUUUAUACACUCUAGAUAUUUUUCUAAACUCUAGAAAGACAACUUUGGGAGUAAAAAAUCAACAGAUGAAGCAUUCUUGCAGCUGAAAAUUGUGAGCUUGUGUGAUUCUUAGAGCACAAAAACGUGGAGAAUAAUAGAAAGAUCCUUUUAGGCAAUUUUUGGGUUUGUAAUUUUUUAGGUUUUAAGUGUGUUUUGCUGAACUUUCUGGGUUUUUUUUUGAGUUGGUUUCUGCCGUUUGCUGAGUUAAAGUAAGCUGGUUUAAUACUACAAAGGUUCAGAGUUUACUUAGCUGCUCGUUCCUCAUUUUUCUGCCAUCAUAGGUAUUUAUCUCAACUAUGUAGUUCUCAAAGUAUAUUGAAAAUUACGAAAAUAAAGUUCAGAGCUUCACUUGUGUUUAUCUGUUAGUGUCGGUACAUUUUUGUCAUGUUUAAGAAUAGAGUAAUAUUUAUCCAUGUUCGAAUGUUGGCUAUGUAACCAAAAUGUUUUUAGUUUCCAGUUGGCGCAUAAAGUUUAAGUGUUAGAAAGUUUUAUUCUCGGAAAGUCACUGAUUUUCUUCUUAAUAAGGGCAUAAGUAGCAGUUGCUCUACUGUAGCUCCGGCCGAGAGUCGAUUGGAAACAGGCUCUCUGCCCUUUCGGGAUAGGGGUAAGGUCUGUCUACUGUAGUUGUUGUUGUUGUUCUACUGUAGCAAUGCCACUAACUACAUAUGAAUGUUUUCUUCUUAAUAAAGGCAUAAGACCACUCCAUGUGAAUGUAAAUUAGUUUCACUAAGAAACUAAAAACAAGAAAGUAGGACAACAACCACAUACCUUGUGUGCCGACAGACUUCCAAUUUGAAAUUUUGAAAGAAUCAAAGCACAAAUUGACAAAUAGAAUGAAGUUCAAAAUGUGGGAAAACCCUAGAAUCAAAGAUUAAAAAUCAGAUUUCAUAUAAAUUGUCAAAUAUAAAAAAAGAGGAAAACAUGAAGAAAAAAAAUCAGAAAAAAUGAGUUGAAGAAGAAAAAUAGGGUCUAACUUCUAAGGGAGAAAAAGCAUACACUGGGAGAGUUGGAAGGCGUCCGGCUGAUUGUGUUAGCAGCGCCGACAAUCAACAACAGAGGAAGAACCCUAGCAGCAAAAGUCAAUCAAUAGAGACAGUCACACUGUCACAUUUGAUUUCGUCCUUGUUUGGAAUUGAAAGACAGCUUGUUUUUGUUAGAGUUUUGUCUUUUGUUUAUUAGAAAGAAAAAAACUAGUGUAUUUAAAAUGCUACUUUAGAGGAGUUUUGUCUUUUGUUUAUUAGAAAGCAAAAAGUUAGUAUAUUAAAAAUGUUAAUUUAGAAGAAAGUAAAGGGAGUUAUCGGGGAAUUACAUGGAAUAGUUUACUCAUUUAGUUUGUGGUUGACUGCUUUCUAAAAAUAUUAUAAAAAUAAUGAAAUAAUUGAACACAGACCUCAUUGAACCCUUUUACCCUCCA
rnacentral:lncRNA from 1 species